rnacentral:rRNA from 1 species
UGCAAGUCGAACGGAAUCCAAGGAGUGCUUGCACUCCUGAAGAUUGAGUGGCGAACGGGUGAGUAACACGUGAGAAACCUGCCCCGGACUCUGGGAUAACCCAAGGAAACUUGAGCUAAUACCGGAUACCCUCCUUUGGUCGCAUGGCCAGUUGAGGAAAGUUUUUCGGUCUGGGAGGGUCUCGCGGCCUAUCAGCCAGUUGGUGAGGUAACGGCUCACCAAGGCUACGACGGGUAGCUGGUUUGAGAGAACGAUCAGCCACACUGGAACUGAGACACGGUCCAGACUCCUACGGGAGGCAGCAGUGGGGAAUCUUGCGCAAUGGGCGAAAGCCUGACGCAGUAACGCCGCGUGCGGGAUGAAGGCCCUCGGGUUGUAAACCGCUUUCAGCAGGGACGAAAAUGACGGUACCUGCAGAAGAAGCCCCGGCUAACUACGUGCCAGCAGCCGCGGUAAUACGUAGGGGGCAAGCGUUGUCCGGAUUUAUUGGGCGUAAAGAGCUCGUAGGCGGUUCCGUAAGUCGAGUGUGAAAAAUCUGGGCUCAACCCAGUGGAGCACUCGAUACUGCGGUGACUGGAGUACGGUAGAGGAGUGUGGAAUUCCUGGUGUAGCGGUGAAAUGCGCAGAUAUCAGGAGGAACACCGACGGCGAAGGCAGCACUCUGGGCCGGUACUGACGCUGAGGAGCGAAAGCGUGGGAGCAAACAGGAUUAGAUACCCUGGUAGUCCACGCCGUAAACGUUGGGCACUAGGUGUGGGGAGGAAUCAACCCUUUCCGUGCCGUAGCUAACGCAUUAAGUGCCCCGCCUGGGGAGUACGGCCGCAAGGCUAAAACUCAAAGGAAUUGACGGGGGCCCGCACAAGCGGCGGAGCAUGUUGCUUAAUUCGAGGCAACGCGAGAACCUUACCUGGGUUCGACAUGUACGGAAAGC